CCAAGAACAUUCCACAAUGGACGAAAGUCUGAUGGAGCGACGCCGCGUGAUUGAUGAAGUCCUUCGGGACGUAAAGAUCUUUUAUGAGGGAAGAAUUUUAUUGACAUUACCUCAUGAAUAAGGGGCUCCUAAUCUCGUGCCAGCAGGAGCGGUAAUACGAGAGCCCCGAGUGUUAUCCGGAAUUAUUGGGCGUAAAGGGUGCGUAGGUGGUUGUGUUAGUCGUAUGUCAAAACUCCGAGCUCAACUUGGAAUCCGCGUACGAAACGGCACGACUAGAGGAUGUGAGAGGUGUACAGAACUCAUGGUGUAGGGGUGAAAUCCGUUGAUAUCAUGGGGAAUACCAAAAGCGAAGGCAGUACACUGGCGCAUUCCUGACACUCAAGCACGAAAGCGUGGGUAGCGAAUGGGAUUAGAUACCCCCGUAGUCC
rnacentral:rRNA from 1 species